GACGAACGCUGGCGGCGUGCCUAAUACAUGCAAGUAGAACGCUGAAGGAGGAGCUUGCUUCUCUGGAUGAGUUGCGAACGGGUGAGUAACGCGUAGGUAACCUGCCUGGUAGCGGGGGAUAACUAUUGGAAACGAUAGCUAAUACCGCAUAAUAGUAGAUGUCGCAUGACAUUUGCUUAAAAGGUGCAAUUGCAUCACUACCAGAUGGACCUGCGUUGUAUUAGCUAGUUGGUGAGGUAACGGCUCACCAAGGCAACGAUUCAUAGCCGACCUGAGAGGGUGAUCGGCCACACUGGGACUGAGACACGGCCCAGACUCCUACGGGAGGCAGCAGUAGGGAAUCUUCGGCAAUGGACGGAAGUCUGACCGAGCAACGCCGCGUGAGUGAAGAAGGUUUUCGGAUCGUAAAGCUCUGUUGUAAGAGAAGAACGAGUGUGAGAGUGGAAAGUUCACACUGUGACGGUAUCUUACCAGAAAGGGACGGCUAACUACGUG
rnacentral:rRNA from 1 species